rnacentral:sRNA from 1 species
CGAACCUGCCGCAGGUUCGGGUCUCACGUAGUGAGACAACGGAGCCGCUUGCGGCGACGGCCCGAAGGGCGAGCAAAGCGAGUCAUCCUGCACGACCCACCA